rnacentral:lncRNA from 1 species
AGGUCCCCUGGAAGAGCAGCCAGUGCUUUUUUUUUUAGACAGGGAACUCAAAAACCAGACUGGCCUCAAACUCAGAGAUGUGCCUGCCUCUGCCUCCUGAGUGCUAGGACUAAAGACGUUCACCAAUUCUAGUCUUAACCAAUGAGUCCCCCUCCAUCUUCUCAUUUGCUUCCUUAGUUUUGGAACAGUGACUCUCCUAACUACUAAGCUGUCCUCAGCACCUGCAAGGUUUUUUUACUCGUUAGGAAGAUAAUCUAAUGAUACUAACCUCAUGAUUAAGAUGAGGGUAAAAUAGCAUCGUCAGGUUGAAAAUAUAGUCAGUGAAUGUUAGUAUUCUUACUGUGUCCUCCCAUCUCCGAAUAUGAAGCAUUAUAGCGAGUGGUUAGCAUAGGGGAAGUACAGUUUUUAACAUAAUCUUCCCAAGUGUUUCUAGGUGGGCUAUGGUUUUGCAGAUGUGUUUGGAAAUAUAACUAGUAUUUAUAAUAUGAAGACAUGGGUCUACACAAUCACAUUAGAAUGCCUUGUGGUACGCUGAGACGGCUGCAGUGUAAAGAUGCCGGCUGCUGACCUGAGUUCCAGCCCUAGGACCCAUGUGAUAGAAGGAGACAACUGUGGCACGUGUGUGUGCUCCCCCACCAACAUAACUAAGUGUAAUAAAAAAGGUUGAGACAUUUCAUCUCAACACACUCCAUUGGGAACAAAUGGCACCUGUGGCCGUCCCUUGUCAAAAGACUGUGGAGGGGGACUUCUCGUUGGCCCUCACUGGAACUGACCACCUUACAUAUUAGCCACAGUGCACUGCUUUCAACUCUACUCCAGCCCGUGUCUUACUAACAGCCCAUGUAUGUGACUGAAAUUCUCCCACCAGGAUCACUGCCGAGAAAAUCAUCAGCUCAGACUGCAGCAGGCCAAACAAAGUCUGAGACACCUUCACCAGCACCACAGUAUUCAAAUGGUGAGCACCUGAGAACAAUUCGUAGUUGUAGUGUGACAGUGGGCUAGCCUGUGGAAACUACACAGUUGGGACAGGUGAGGGUGGGUCUCCUUUCCUUGUGAAUACAUUCAUAAGUGGAAUUAUGGGCAUUUUACAAGGAUGUGUUUGUUUACAUAUAGAAGAGAGACAAAGUAAAAGAGG